rnacentral:rRNA from 1 species
CCUACGGGAGGCAGCAGUGGGGAAUCUUGCGCAAUGGGCGAAAGCCUGACGCAGCCAUGCCGCGUGAAUGAUGAAGGUCUUAGGAUUGUAAAAUUCUUUCACCGGGGACGAUAAUGACGGUACCCGGAGAAGAAGCCCCGGCUAACUUCGUGCCAGCAGCCGCGGUAAUACGAAGGGGGCUAGCGUUGCUCGGAAUUACUGGGCGUAAAGGGAGCGUAGGCGGAUAGUUUAGUCAGAGGUGAAAGCCCAGGGCUCAACCUUGGAAUUGCCUUUGAUACUGGCUAUCUUGAGUACGGAAGAGGUAUGUGGAACUCCGAGUGUAGAGGUGAAAUUCGUAGAUAUUCGGAAGAACACCAGUGGCGAAGGCGACAUACUGGUCCGUUACUGACGCUGAGGCUCGAAAGCGUGGGGAGCAAACAGGAUUAGAUACCCUGGUAGUCCACGCUGUAAACGAUGAGUGCUAGUUGUCGGCANGCAUGCAUGUCGGUGACGCAGCUACGACAUAAGUACACCUCCGCCGUCGGGGAGGUACGGUCGGCGAAGAAGUUAAACGUAACGUAAAGGUUAAAGUUAGUACGGCGUUGAGACGUUGCCGACGGACGACGACGAGGGAGGAGG